CCUAAAUACGAGCAUGAUAUAUAAAAGGAUCAAAACCAUUAUCUUAUAAACACCUGUCAUGACAUGAUACCCCUUCCCUUAAGGAUUUCUUUUAUAUAUAGUAGAUUUUAUCACAAUCACGAUACCAGUAAACAAAAAUAUCUUAUACGUAUUUAUAAAAUUAUUUCAAUAACUAAUUAUGGGUGAAGUGAUAAUAAAUUUCUAUUUAAAUUUAUCGGUUGUGUUCAAUAUUCUUAAAUAAUAAUUUUUAAUUGUUUUAUUUGAAAUAUUAUAUAAAAAUAUGUGAUGGUUGUCGAUUCCACCAAUAUAAACCUACACCUAGUUUACAAAUUAAAGCAGUAUAGGGAGUAGGGUCGAUCCCACAGAGACUGGAAUUACUGAAAAUUGUUUGUUUCUUGACCAGAUUAGUGUUUGGGCAGUUGUCGUGCCCGCGACGUUUAGGGGGAAAUAAAAUAUGAAACCUGAAAUAAACACAAGAAAACGUAAAAAGUAAAAAGUAAAAGAUGAAAUAAAAAUAAAUAACGAAAUAAUUUAAAGGGAAAUCAAUAAAACUUAGCUCAGCCUUAAGCACGGGUUUUCUCGUCUUUGACUCGUUCCUCGGAAUUAGAUGAACUCCUCUUUUCCGAUAAGCUAGUUAUAGCUACCAAGGACGCCUCGGACACCAACUAUUCCUUGUGUAAAUUAGUUAUGGAACGUCCUAUAACUAACCCUUACCGAUUGAACAACCUACGAAACGUUCGUGAUUUAGAACUCCGGCAGCUUUGCGUUCUAGAAGAGCCUAGCUCGAACCAAUGCCCUCAAACGUUGAGGCAUUUAAAUCCGGUUACUACUUCCCUUGACGGAACCAAACAGCAAUCCCCACUUGGCACGCCAAUGUGUUCACGGAAAACCAAUUAGACAAUCGAUCCUUUCGGAAUUCCAACUGUACGUCUAGCCACACUAACUCAAACGACGUCUUUUUUGACUUAGUAUUGACUUGACUUUGUGAGUUGACGAAGUCAUACUCUUAAUCCGGAGAAAUAAUAAAUAUCGAAAGUUGGGAGUUAAACAGCUCGGGUUCGUAACUCACGGGUAUUUUGACGGGGUUAACACCGGCUUAAAGCUAAAAGGGGUUUAGUGUGGCAUGAAUUUAAUCAUGCUUGAAGGUUAUGGAAAUGAUAGAAAUUAUAUGAAAAAGGUAGUGGAAAUGGAUAGGAAAAAUUGCAAAGAGAAUUAGACAAAUUUUGUAAAAAGAAGACAAAAUAAUCUAAUGCUCAAUUGAAUUAAGAAAAAGAAAACAAAGUGGAUAAUGGAAUUCCAAAAUGAAAUAGGAAUGUAAAGACAAU
rnacentral:lncRNA from 1 species